rnacentral:rRNA from 1 species
UACGUAGGGUGCAAGCGUUAAUCGAGAUUACUGGGCGUAAAGCGUGCGCAGGCGGUUUUGUAAGUUUGUCGUGAAAGCCCCGGGCUCAACCUGGGAAUUGCGAUGAAGACUGCAAGGCUUGAAUCUGGCAGAGGGGGGUAGAAUUCCACGUGUAGCAGUGAAAUGCGUAGAGAUGUGGAGGAACACCGAUGGCGAAGGCAGCCCCCUGGGUCAAGAUUGACGCUCAUGCACGAAAGCGUGGGGAGCAAACAGG